rnacentral:rRNA from 1 species
GUUUAUCUCGCACUGUGGUGGAUUCGGAACAGGUGCUAAUACCGCAUAAGCGCACAGGGCCGCAUGGCCCGGUGUGAAAAACUCCGGUGGUGUAAGAUGGACCCGCGUCUGAUUAGCUUGUUGGCGGGGUAGGGGCCCACCAAGGCGACGAUCAGUAGCCGGCCUGAGAGGGUGGACGGCCACAUUGGGACUGAGACACGGCCCAAACUCCUACGGGAGGCAGCAGUGGGGGAUAUUGGACAAUGGGGGAAACCCUGAUCCAGCGACGCCGCGUGAGUGAAGAAGUAUUUCGGUAUGUAAAGCUCUGUCAGCAGGGAAGAAAGAAAUGACGGUACCUGACCAAGAAGCCCCGGCUAACUACGUGCCAGCAGCCGCGGUAAUACGUAGGGGGCAAGCGUUAUCCGGAAUUACUGGGUGUAAAGGGAGCGUAGACGGUGAUGCAAGUCUGGAGUGAAAGGCGGGGGCCCAACCCCCGGACUGCUCUGGAAACUGUGUAACUUGAGUGCAGGAGAGGUAAGCGGAAUUCCUAGUGUAGCGGUGAAAUGCGUAGAUAUUAGGAGGAACACCAGUGGCGAAGGCGGCUUACUGGACUGUAACUGACGUUGAGGCUCGAAAGCGUGGGGAGCAAACAGGAUUAGAUACCCUGGUAGUCCACGCCGUAAACGAUGAUUACUAGGUGUCGGUGGGUAUGGACCCACCGGUGCCGCAGCAAACGCAGUAAGUAAUCCACCUGGGGAGUACGUUUCGCAGAAUGAAACUCAAGGAAUUUGACGGGACCCGCACAAGCGGUUGGAGCAUUGUGGUUUAAUUCCGAAGCAACGUCUAAGAAAUCU